rnacentral:lncRNA from 1 species
CCACCACCAAUCCAAGAUGUCACAUCAGUGAAAGGAGAGGCUUUGGGGUGGCCUGGAGCCUCACCUACGAGGAACAUCGCUGCCGCUGACCACUGCUCCUCCUCCCUGGGCCUCUCUCAUGCCUGGACUCUGCACCCUGCCUCACCACCUUCCAGUGUCGCAGGAGUGCCCUGGCUCAUUUCUUGUCCCCUGUCUUCUCUCACCCCUUGGCCAUAU